GUCGUCAGUUCGUACUGUAAAGCGUUCUGUUAAGUCAGAUAACGAACGAGACCCUCAUCUCUAUUUGCUACCCUUCUCUCCGGAGGAGGCGCACCAUAGAGAGACCGCUGGUGCGAAACCAGAGGAAGGCGAGGGCAACGACAGGUCAGUAUGCCCCGAAUGUCCUGGGCUACACGCGCGCUACAAAGGACGGGACAAUGGGAAGCCAGAUCGAGAGAUCGAGCUAACCCGAAACCCGUUCAUAGUUCGGAUUGUGGGCUGUAACUCGCCCACAUGAAGCUGGAUUGCGUAGUAAUCGUGUUUCAACAUAGCACGGUGAAUAUGCCCCUGCUCCUUGCACACACCGCCCGUCAAACCAUCUUAGUUGGGGAUGGAUGAGGCUGCGUUUUAAUGGCGUAUUCGAGUCUGUCUUCGACAAGGAGGGUUAAGUCGUAACAAGGUAUCUGUAGGGGAACCUGCAGAUGGAUCACCUCCUAAG
rnacentral:rRNA from 1 species